rfam:Naematelia encephala strain 68-887.2 BCR39scaffold_17, whole genome shotgun sequence.
GCGGCCUUAGCGUAGUGGUAGCGCGACAGACUUCGAUGUUUGUCGUCAGAGUAAUCUGUAGGUCGGGGGUUCGAUCCCCUCAGGCCGUU